AGGUGUGAGGGCAAUCUGGCUAUGACAUCUGUCACCCCAUUGAUUGCCAGGGUCGAUUUGGCUGAUCUGGCUGGCUAGGCAGGUGUCCCCUUCCUCCCUCACUGCUCCAUGUGCAUCCCUUCUAAGCUGUGCACUCAUUCAAAGAGGACAACCACCCCCAAUAGAGGAGGACUGUUUUCUCAGUCAAGGGUAUAUUCAUAGCUGCAUUCCCCUGCUAGAACCUCCAAACAAGCUCUCAAGGAAUCCACUGAUGAAUACCAUGCUCCAGUGAUCCCAUCAUCUCCCAAAAGCCUUGCCCAUGAGUACACAAGGUCUUUG
rfam:Fukomys damarensis contig155707, whole genome shotgun sequence.